AAUGAACGCUGGCGGCGCGCCUAAUACAUGCAAGUCGAGCGAGAAGACGUAGCAAUACGUUUGUAAAGCGGCGAACGGGUGAGGAAUACAUGGGUAACCUACCCUCGAGUGGGGAAUAACUAGCCGAAAGGUUAGCUAAUACCGCGUACGCUCCUUGGACUUCGGUUCAGGGAGGAAAGCGAUACCGUGGGUAUCGCGCUCUUGGUUGGGCUCAUGUCCUAUCAGCUUGUUGGUGAGGUAACGGCUCACCAAGGCUUCGACGGGUAGCUGGUCUGAGAGGACGAUCAGCCACACUGGCACUGCGACACGGGCCAGACUCCUACGGGAGGCAGCAGUAAGGAAUAUUGCGCAAUGGGCGAAAGCCUGACGCAGCGACGCC
rnacentral:rRNA from 1 species